GAAUUUUGGACAAUGGGGGCAACCCUGAUCCAGCCAUCCCGCGUGUGCGAUGAAGGCCUUCGGGUUGUAAAGCACUUUUGGCAGGGAAGAAAAGGCUCUGGCUAAUACCUGGAGCUGCUGACGGUACCUGCCGAAUAACCACCGCCUACUCCCGUCCCGCCACCCGCGGUAACAGGUAGGGUGCAAGCGUUAAUCGGAAUUACUGGGCGUAAAGCGUGCGCAGGCGGUUCGGCAAGAAGGAUGUGAAAUCCCAGGGCUUAACCUUGGAACUGCAUUCUUAACUGCCGGGCUAGAGUAUGUCAGAGGGGGGUAGAAUUCCGCGUGUAGCAGUGAAAUGCGUAGAGAUGCGGAGGAAUACCGAUGGCGAAGGCAGCCCCCUGGGAUAAUACUGACGCUCAUGCACGAAAGCGUGGGGAGCAAAC
rnacentral:rRNA from 1 species